CUGCUUCUUCGAUUCUUCUUCGUUAUCUCUCUGCCGAUUCUGAGAGACAUUUCUGAAACCGUGAAAUCAAAUAGAAAGUUAGGGAGAUCAAUUAUCUAGUUUGAUAGAUGAAACGAUGAUUUCUCUGUGAAUCUUUGAAGAAGAAGAUGGUUUUGUUGAUGAAUCUAAAAUAGGUAAUUCAUAUUACAAAUUGAUUGACGUCUCUGUAUGAAUUCGUUCUGUUUGGAUUAAUCAUAGAGUGGGUUUGUUGUUAAUCGAGUAUAGAGAUGUUGCAUGAAAUUUAAUUUUGAUUUCUGCUAUUUCCCUAAGUCUACCAGAAGUUAGGGUUCUUGCGAAUUAGGUUAUUUAAGUUGGAUUCUGAAGAUGAAUAAGAUGAAUUGGAUAGAGGGUAAGAUAUUGGUUCAGGGUUUUGCAAAGAAGAAUCAGAAGAUGAUUGAGUUGUAGUUCAAGGAUAAAUGGUAGUUGGAUAUUGAUGUUUAUUUGAAUCGAGUUGAACAUGGGUAGUUGCAGUAGCAGUUGGGAGUAUGACAUAGGGUUUGUAGUUAGAUGUGAAGAGUUACGAGUAGAGGUGGUGGUGAACUAGAAGACACAGUAGAUUGUAGAGUUGUGCUGGUCAGGAUGAGACAGAGAUGUUGCUGUUAAUGGACCAGGAAGAAUUGAUAGAGGUAAUGGCAGAGUAAAUAUGAGGUGCUGUGAAGACUUAAGGCUGUACAGAGGAGCAAUGAUGUCUGCAAUGAAGUUUCUGAAUUGGUGUUGGUUGUUAGUUGAGUUCAAGUAGUGUGUGGGAAUAACUGUGGUAGCAGAGAUGGAGGCAUGAACGGAAUGGUGAUGCAGGUAGUAUGGUUUUGAUAAGAAUUACAUAUAUGAACUGAAUUCAGUAAGAUGGGAUUGAUUAUGAAGAUGUGUUGUUGGCAAUGAGAUGUUGAGAAUGUUGUUUGUUUGUGUAUUGAAGUUGCAGGGGAUAUAAGUGAUGUGGAGGUGUUGUAUUGCAACUGGGGUGGUGCUGUUGUGUUUUGACUGCCAGUUGAAGUGAAUGAGGUAUACAGGUUGUGCAAGAAGAGACAGAGGUGAGAUGGCUUAUGCAAUUUGAUUUGGUUGUUAGCUGUUGAGAUUAUGUGAUGUAAAGGAAAUUGGGAUUGAACUAAUGAAUGUGAAUUAUGAGUUGUUUGCCUGUAAGAUUGUGGUUGUACUGGAGGUAAUGAGAUGGAUGUUAUUGAGAAGUUAAAGAGCUUCAGUUGCAAAUUAGUGGUGGUGGUGGUUUGAGGCAGUGGUGUGUAUGGAUCUUCUAAAUUCUAAGUUUAUGAUUUGACCUGGAUAUGAGAUGUAUGAGACAAACCCAUGGGUAGUAAAUAUUACAAGUGCUGGUGGUGAUGUUGCCUAGGUGGUUGUUUUGGGUUGAGUCUGAUGAAUUAGAAUUACAAAGAUGUGAUGUUGGAAGUGUUGUUGGUGAUUAGAGAGUAGCAGGUGUUGAAUUGAACUGAUGUAAGAAGAAUGAGAUAGUGAAGUUGUAGAAAGAAUGUUGCAGCUACUGCUAAACUGCAGUUACUCUUUAUCAACAACGAUCGAUCCAAAGGAUGAACCAGUGGAUGAUGAAUCUCAAGGUAUGCGAGGCUUGUCAUCAAAAGAGUUUCAGAGAUAUCAGAAUGGCGCAGCGAAAGCUCGGGAAGUUAACUACGUUAUUUAGAUUGCUUCCACUAUGUUUAUUUUGUGUUUAUAUUUUAUUUGUAAACCAAAUGACUAUUCUAUAUGUAUCAUUUGAGAGGAGAUUUUAUAUACAUAUAUGUAUAUUCCAGAGCGGGUUAGUUUUGUGUUAUGUUU